rnacentral:rRNA from 1 species
GAUGAACGCUGGCGGCGUGCCUAAUACAUGCAAGUCGAGCGAACAGACGAGGAGCUUGCUCCUCUGACGUUAGCGGCGGACGGGUGAGUAACACGUGGAUAACCUACCUAUAAGACUGGGAUAACUUCGGGAAACCGGAGCUAAUACCGGAUAAUAUAUUGAACCGCAUGGUUCAAUAGUGAAAGACGGUUUUGCUGUCACUUAUAGAUGGAUCCGCGCCGCAUUAGCUAGUUGGUAAGGUAACGGCUUACCAAGGCAACGAUGCGUAGCCGACCUGAGAGGGUGAUCGGACACACUGGAAGUGAGACACGGUCCAGACUCCUACGGGAGGCAGCAGUAGAGAAUCUUCCGCAAUGGGCGAGAGCCUGACGGAGCAACGCCGCGUGAGUGAUGAAGGUCUUCGGAUCGUAAAACUCUGCUAUUAGAGAAGAACAAAUGUGUAAGUAACUAUGCACGUCUUGACGGUACCUAAUCAGAAAGCCACGGCGAACUACG